rnacentral:rRNA from 1 species
AACGAACGCUGGCGGUAUGCUUAACACAUGCAAGUCGAACGAACAAAAUUGGGGCUUGCUCCAAUUUUAGUGAGUGGCAAACGGGUGAGUAACACGUGGGAAUCUACCUAUCAGUACGGAAUAACAUUUGGAAACAGAUGCUAAUACCGUAUAUUCUCCAAGGAGGAAAGACUUAUCGCUGAUAGAUGAGCCCGCGUAAGAUUAGGUAGUUGGUAGGGUAAUGGCCUACCAAGCCGACGAUCUUUAGCUGGUCUGAGAGGAUGAUCCGCCACACUGGGACUGAGACACGGCCCAGACUCCUACGGGAGGCAGCAGUGGGGAAUAUUGGACAAUGGGCGAAAGCCUGAUCCAGCAAUACCGCGUGAAUGAUGAAGGCCUUAGGGUUGUAAAGUUCUUUUAGUUGGAAAGAUAAUGACGGUACCAACAGAAAAAGCCCCGGCUAACUCCGUGCCAGCCGCCGCUGUAA